AAACCAAAAGCGCAAUGAAAGUGAAAAAGGUUUGUUUUUCCCAAAAACGCCUUAAAAUGAUGAAAUCGUCGUAAAUAUAAUAAAUAUUUAUAUAUUUCGCGAUUCCAAUCAUCGAAUAUUUUGGACACAUAUUGUUUAAAUUUAUUUGACUUUAUGCAGUCGAAAUAUAUCAAGAGCAUACUUGUUGGGACCCGAAAGAUGGUGAACUAUACCUGGCCAGGAUGAAGUCAGGAGAAAUUCUGAUGGAAGUCCGUAGCGAUUCUGACGUCCAAAUCGAUCGUCAGAGCUGGGUAUAGGGGCGAAAGACUAAUCGAACCAUCUAGUAGCUGGUUCCUUCCGAAGUUUCCCUCAGGAUAGCUGGCAUUUAGAAAGGCCGAGUCUCAUUCGGUAAAGCGAAUGAUUAGAGGAAUUGGGAACGAAACGUUCUCAACCUAUUCUCAAACUUUAAAUGAGUGAGAAAAUUUAACUUUCUUAAUUAUAUAUAUAUAUAUAUGUGAUGAAGUUAAAUACGUUAAGAUCGAAAAUGCCAAGUGGGCCAUUUUUGGUAAGCAGAACUGGCGCUGUGGGAUGAACCAAACGUUAAGUUAAAGCGUCUAAAUUUACGCUUAU
rnacentral:rRNA from 1 species